UACGGGAGGCAGCAGUGAGGAAUAUUGGACAAUGGGCCCAAGCCUGAUCCAGCCAUGCCGCGUGCAGGAUGACGGUCCUAUGGAUUGUAAACUGCUUUGAUACAGGAAGAAACCGUACCACGUGGGUAGAUGACGAUCGUGUCGA
rnacentral:rRNA from 1 species